rnacentral:rRNA from 1 species
UAUCGGAUACUGGGCGUAAGCGUGCGUAGGCGGUUAAUUAAGUCAGAUGUGAAAGCCCCUGACUUACCCUGGGAACUGCAUUUGAUACUGGUUAACUAGAGUUUAGUAGAGGGGAGUGGAAUUUCAGGUGUAGCGGUGAAAUGCGUAGAUAUCUGAAGGAACACCAGUGGCGAAGGCGACUCCCUGGACUAAAACUGACGCUGAGGUACGAAAGCGUGGGUAGCAAACAGGAUUAGAUACCCUGGUAGUCCACGCCGUAAACGAUGUCAACUAGCCGUUGGUCCUAUUUACAGGAUUAGUGGCGCAGCUAACGCAUUAAGUUGACCGCCUGGGGAGUACGGCCGCAAGGUUAAAACUCAAAUGAAUUGACGGGGGCCCGCACAAGCGGUGGAGCAUGUGGUUUAAUUCGAUGCAACGCGAAGAACCUUACCUACCCUUGACAUCCAUAGAAUCA